UGUGAAAUUAGAAGAUGGUCAGCACUUUACACUCACAGAUGGUAACAAGGAAGCAAAUGCAAAGGUCCCAAGUGCAUUCCAGGCACCAACUGAACCUAAGCCUUUCCUCUGCAAAGCUCACAAACCUUACGAAGCCCGACACGCUGCCCGCGGGCCGGCGUUACCCAGCAGGGUGCCCCCUGCGAGCAGUGCCAGCGCUGCCUUCCAGCCGGAGCGGGCGGCGCGCGGCGCUCCGCAAUGGGGCUUCUGAGGCACGAAAGAAGUCAUCGUUUUAUUUGGAAAAGGCUUCGACGCGAAUACCUUUGAUCCUCAACGUAAAUAAUCGCAACGGACACAACUGUUCGUCACCACUUUGGAAAACCGUGUGAUAUCAAUAAACGAACCAAGAAUCUUUUCAGGAAAAGUAAACGUGACCCACUGAAAGGUCCUUCUGUCACCCUUACAUACAAAGUAUGAAAGAAAAGUCUUUAUAAAACACAGGAAAAAACAGAAGCACGUUUUUAAUCUCCAUCUCCCGUGACUCUGAACUGAGAAGGGCAGGGGAAGAAAUCUGCUUUAAGAGAAGGGAGCAGAAGUUAUCUUAAAUGUUGUUUUGUAGUGUAAAUCCAUUAAAUCGCUAUUCUCGGUUCACACCAACUCCUGUAUCGGGCGUUACAAAGUCUCUUAGACGUAAAGCACUUCAGUGCUGAGUAUUAAGGUGGAGCGGAUUUUUCUACUCCGUAGGUAUCACAGCGAUCUGGGAGUUUAUUUUUACAGCCUGAGAUGUCAGAAUGGCACGGAGGCAUGAAAAUCUCACCAUCUGUAUGCUCACGGACAAUUCAUCAAGAACGCUCAACGACAGACUUGGAAUAACAAAAUUUGAACGUUCUUACUACCGCCUAGCCGCACGCUCAGACCUCGUUUAAAUAGCACCUCACCUGCCUUACCGUGCCGCUUACCUCAGGCCCAAACCUCCCCGGCCACUGUUUGCCUACCCGCACGAAUCCUGCCAUAAAACAGGCACGUGCCGUUUGAAAUAACACUUGUUAAAUGUAACGGGAGGUUACACAGAGACGCAUAUAAUGUAAUUUCGCCGAGUGCUGUCGUGCAGCCCACGGAAGGUUCGGGAGCGGAGCGGUGGCUUCACCUGGAGCUUAGCUGGUGCGCCGGGCAGUGUCCUUCUGGCUGCGUGUUCCCCAUCGCUGCCAGGAGACAAGGACUUGUUUUAGUUGGAACUCUUAAAGCAGACACUACAUAGUUUAGAUUAACUCCUUUCAGUAGUACGGCGUCAAUGUGUUAUUCCCUUAACAUAAAACAUACAGAUUAUGUAAAUCUGUAAUAAAUACUAUUUUGAAGUGUAUAGUAAUCAGAAAUCUUUCAGGGCAGGAUGGAAUGGAAACUGAGAAAUAUUGGAGAGUAAACAUUCCAACGCUCAUUCCUCUGCUUCUUCCUGGCAGAGCGGAGCGCGGCGCUGGCUGCCGCCGGGCUGUCAGUG
ensembl:lncRNA